GAUGAAGAACGUAGCGAAAUGCGAUAAGUAGUGUGAAUUGCAGAAUUCAGUGAAUCAUCGAAUCUUUGAACGCACAUUGCGCCCCUUGGUAUUCCGAGGGGCAUGCCUAUUCGAGCGUCAUUAUCACCCCUCAAGCCUAGCUUGGUGUUGAGGCCUGCUGUCAAGGCAGCCUCUAAAAUCAGUGGCAGUGCUGUCAGGCUCUAAGCGUAGUAAAUCUAAUCGCUAUAGACACCUGGUGGACACUCGCCAGAACCCCCCCCAUUUUUUAAUGAUUGACCUCGGAUUAGGUAGGGAUACCCGCUGAACUUAAGCAUAUCAAUAAGCGGAGGA
rnacentral:misc_RNA from 1 species